rnacentral:rRNA from 1 species
AUACGGAGGGUGCGAGCGUUACUCGGAGUCACUGGGCGUAAAGCGUCCGUAGGCGGUCGGGUAAGUCGGGUGUGAAAGCCCCGGGCUCAACCUGGGAAGUGCACCCGAUACUGCUCGACUCGAGUGCGGGAGAGGAUGGCGGAAUUCCCGGUGUAGCGGUGAAAUGCGUAGAGAUCGGGAGGAACACCAGUGGCGAAGGCGGCCAUCUGGCCCGCGACUGACGCUGAGGGACGAAAGCGUGGGGAGCAAACAGGAUUAGAAACCCUUGUAGUCC